ACUAACUGAAAAGUUUUUUUAGUUGAAGUACUAAAAUGACUGAAAAAGAAAUAAAAAUAAGUUAAGCACGAAAAUCACAGAUUUUAGGCCACAAGUCUGUCAACUUCAUCUGGCUCUUUUUUGUGCAAAAUCUGCAAAAUGUGAUUUAAGUAUGAGUGAUCAGUGGCUAAAGUUCUAUGUAUAUAUAUCUAGAAUAUAUAAACUAAUACAAAUGAUAAAACAAUUACUAAAACUUGAACUAAAAUAAGAUGAAAAGUAAAAAAAAAGGGCUAAUUCAAAUGAAAUACACAUACAGUAUAUAAAUAAUACUAGGAUAUCAAAAUUAGGGCCCUGUGACGUGGUGUAAAAUGGGUCAAAUUAUGAAAAGAGCUUGUCUUUCAGCACAUGCUUAUUCGCUAUCCACUUGCAGUCCAGUUAAAAACAAUAUCAUACUUUUUAAUACAAACUCUCCUUUUUUAUAGUACAUUUGGACACAUUUGCAGCUUUACCAAAUUUGCAAAAUAUUACAUUAUUAAUCAGAUGCUAAACAAGGCAGUGCAAGUUAAUUUAUACAGCCCAUUUUAUACACAGUGACAUUUCACAGUGUUUGCAUGACCAGGAUAAAGAGAAAGACACACAAAACUCAUUUAUAAAAUCAUUUAAGAAUAAAUAUGAAAUCAGCUGUAAUUACUUCUUAGUGAAAUGCCUCUAGUGAGUUUGUUUGCACACUGUUCAUUCUUUAUUCUUUAUAUUAAACCAGAUCUUAAACAGCCUGUUGGUCUUUUGCUGUACAGCGCAGUGCCUGGGAGUGGUUACUACUACGCUAUUUUCUACAGCACUCAGGUCAUAAACUAGGAAGUAUGUUCUUUUGCAAGCGGUAGGAAUGGAAAAGGCCCACGUGACAAGAGUUUUCUCAUGCCCGAAUGAAACAGUCACUGUGAUAAGGUCAAGCAAAGUGUGUUACAAACAAAUGAGCUUCAUCAUAAGGCAACAAUCAAAGUAUCCUUGAUCAUCAAACAAGCAUUUGUAUAUAAUAAAUAAAUGUGGAAGGUAAAUGAACAGACUGUUUUUAUGUG